rnacentral:rRNA from 1 species
CCUACGGGAGGCAGCAGUGAGGAAUAUUGGUCAAUGGACGAGAGUCUGAACCAGCCAAGUAGCGUGAAGGAUGACUGCCCUAUGGGUUGUAAACUUCUUUUAUAUGGGAAUAAAACAGGGUAUGCAUACCCUCUUGUAUGUACCAUAUGAAUAAGGAUCGGCUAACUCCGUGCCAGCAGCCGCGGUAAUACGGAGGAUCCGAGCGUUAUCCGGAUUUAUUGGGUUUAAAGGGAGCGUAGGUGGAUUGUUAAGUCAGUUGUGAAAGUUUGCGGCUCAACCGUAAAAUUGCAGUUGAAACUGGCAGUUGUGAGAAAAGUAGAGGUGGGCGAAAUUCGUGGUGUAGCGGUAAAAUGCUUAGA